UGGGCCUUUGCACAUGCUGUACUUGCUGCCUCAGACCCCUUAUCACUAUCUGGCAGCUUUCCAACAAUACAAUCCAGCUGCUCCCUCACAAGGGAGGCACCUAAGGAUGACGUGUAUAAUGACAGCUAUGGAGAGAGUCUGGUGUACCUGCCAACUGCCGCAGUGUCAGCUGAGAUGCAGUGAACCCAGCUGGGAGCCAGCCAUUGGGUUUGCUGCUUCCUUCCUGGGAGAAUCUUACACACAAAGGAACUCUGUAAGUUCCCUGAGAGGCUCAGACAAGGGAUUCAAUAAAUGCUGCUACACUGAUUGCCUGUAACUCUUGUUAGCCACCUGCAGCCUCCCUUCAGAGCAGUGUGUGUGUGUGUGCUGGGGCUUGAACUCAGGGCCUGGG